GACCGAAGGAGGGGGAGCAGUAGAGAGAGGCAGACGGAGCAAUAUUGAAGUUACCUGGAUUGGAGCGCUGAAGAAACAGGAGCAAACGGUGACAGGGUGUGGGAGGGGCAGAGGGAGGAGGAGUGGAAGAGGAAGACCGAGGCAGACGAAGCAAGAUCAGUAAUGGAGGGGGAACAGAAGAGGAAGAGAGACACUGAAGGGAGCAAGCAGCAGAGGGUGGGAGACAAAUGGAGAACGGAGAGGAAUUGUUAAAAAGAUUGGAAUACCUUAUCCGACACUUGGAAUGGAUCCAGUGCACCUUCAGAAUGGUCAUCUUCAGAUGGUUCCGGAUUCUCCUCUGGCUCCUCUGAAAAUACAGCAUCAUCAUGGGAUUGUUCUUCUUCCUCACAUUCUACUUCACUUACAGAAUUACUUGUAAUGUCUACAUUGUUGUCAUUGUACAUAUUGCUGAAUUUUAAGCAACUUCAAUAUUUGGGCUUGUAGAAACACUCAAUAAAGCUCUUGGAUUAUUUUGUUCUAA